rnacentral:rRNA from 1 species
GAACUCGGCAAAUUGACACCGUAACUUCGGAAGAAGGUGUGCCCUAUUAGUGUGAAGUGAACAACGGAGCAUGAAUGGGUUGCAAAAAAUCGGUGGCUGCGACUGUUUAUUAAAAACACAGCACUCUGCAAACACGAAAGUGGACGUAUAGGGUGUGACGCCUGCCCGGUGCUGGAAGAUUAAAUGAUGGGGUGCAAGCUCUUGAUUGAAGUCCCAGUAAACGGCGGCCGUAACAAUAACGGUCCUAAGGUAGCGAAAUUCCUUGUCGGGUAAGUUCCGACCUGCACGAAUGGCGUAACGAUGGCCACACUGUCUCCUCCCGAGACUCAGCGAAGUUGAAAUGUUUGUGAUGAUGCAAUCUCCCCGCGGAAAGACGGAAAGACCCCAUGAACCUUUACUGUAGCUUUGUAUUGGACUUUGAACAGAUCUGUUAGGAUAGGUGGGAGGCUUUGAAGCAGGGUCGCUAGAUCUUGUGGAGCCAACGUUGAAAUACCACCCUGGUGUGUUUGAGGUUCUAACCUAGGUCCAUUAUCUGGAUCGGGGACAGUGCAUGGUAGGCAGUUUGACUGGGGCGGUCUCCUCCCAAAGCGUAACGGAGGAGUUCGAAGGUACGCUAGUUACGGUCGGACAUCGUGACGAUAGUGCAAUGGCAUAAGCGUGCUUAACUGCGAGACUGACAAGUCGAGCAGAUGCGAAAGCAGGACAUAGUGAUCCGGUGGUUCUGUAUGGAAGGGCCAUCGCUCAACGGAUAAAAGGUACUCUGGGGAUAACAGGCUGAUACCGCCCAAGAGUUCAUAUCGACGGCGGUGUUUGGCACCUCGAUGUCGGCUCAUCUCAUCCUUGGGCUGUAGCCGGUCCCAAGGGUAUGGCUGUUCGCCAUUUAAAGAGGUACGUGAGCUGGGUUUAAAACGUCGUGAGACAGUUUGGUCCCUAUCUUCCGUGGGCGCUGCAGAUUUGAGGAAGCCUGCUCCUAGUACGAGAGGACCGGAGUGGACGCACCUCUGGUGUAUCGGUUGUCACGCCAGUGGCAUUGCCGAGUAGCUAUGUGCGGAAGAGAUAACCGCUGAAAGCAUCUAAGCGGGAAACUCGUUCCAAGAUGAGAUCUGCCGGGGCCUUGAGCCCCCUAAAGAGUCGUUCAAGACCAGGACGUUGAUAGGUCGGGUGUGGAAGCGCAGUAAUGCGUUAAGCUAACCGAUACUAAUUGCUCGUGCGGCUUGACCCG